GAUAAAUAACUUGCGUGCACGAUCUAGAGCAGUUUUGUUGGGAUCUCCAGCAACACCAUCACACCAUCUCUCAACGAUUCUGUGGUUGGCACCGUAUCAACAAUAUCAGCCCUGCAGGUUGUGUAACAAGACAAUGAUGCAACCCGUAGGGAUGAAGGUGGAGGUGCUGGUAGGAUGACAAAGUCCCACCACCCACAUACGAUGCAUUUAAAACUCUCCUGGUGAAAUAAAAGGCUAGAGCUUGAACCAGCCUAACCCUCUCCUGCCACAGGUUUUCAGACCAGAAGAAAGCACCGUGAUUCUCCAGCCUGACCUUUUGCACAGUACAGCUUACAUACAAUGAAUGCAUUAUCUAGUAAUUUUAAUCUACUACCUAACCAGAAGUGCUGACAGACUUGUAGGAAAUCAAACACCCAGUACUCAUCAGGGUGAUCUGCCCAGAUUAGGAUAAUGGCCAGCUAUGCCAUUGUGAUAGGUCCUGUGGGAAGGAAUUAUUGUAAUGUCGGUUAUAACUACAUGGUUAAGAUCAUGUUGACAUCCAUAUAUAAAGCAGCUGUAAAGUCAUUAUUUUAAACUCCAAUGAGCUUUAAAACUGGACACUCACAUGCAGCAGGCUAUGGAAUUUCCACAAUUUUUAAAGAAUAGAUUUGCAAGAAUACCACAUAAAAUACCUUAUUUUUAAAAUGCUUCAUUUUUCCUUAGAUCAUUUAAGUUUCGGUCUCUCAGGCCUCCAAAUGCUUGAUGACUUCUUCUUUAACACAUACAUUGAUGUACAGAUUACGAGAUGUUAGACACAGACCAUUUAAAUGCAUCAGUAAUCACUGCUCUUCACAUGGUACAGCAAGAGGGUUACACUAAGCUGCAACAUCAAGAAGGGCAGGAUGAAAGAGCCAGGGAACUACAGGUCUGUCAGCCUCACCUCCGUCCCCAGGACGACUAUGGAGCAAAUACUCAUGGAAGACAUUUCCAAGCACCUGAGGGACACAAAGAUGACUAAGAACAGCUGGUGUAAUGUGACUUUUCCAAGGCAAACCUUCGAUGGGACAGCUGGCUCAGCAGAGGAGGAAGAGCGGGACAGACACUGAGUCUGCAUUCCUUAUUGAACUUAAUAUAUCUGGAAUCUGACAUCUAGAAUGAUCCUGAGCAUGGUGAAGACAACGGUUUGUUUGGUUUGGAGCACUGCAUUUUCUAGAACACUAUUUCCAGUACAAUGAAUCUUGAAGAUAAGUAGUGCAUCCUGUCUACCUUCAUGUCAUGACGGUUUGCGCUGGGCUGGCCACUAAACCUUAAACCAGGACACUUCAGGUAAUGAAAUUAAGAAAAACAAAACAGGAAAAUAGCAAAAUGUUGGUUAUUACAUUUAAAAACAAAAAACCCACUCAGUUCUCUAAUUCUUGAAUCCAGAGGCACCGUACCCGCUUCUCUCAUCUCCUACCAUAAAUAUUUUCUAACUUAAUUUCUUUUCCCCAGCUGAAUUUUUGUCCUUUCAACUUAAUCCCAAGAUAUUUUUCAAUUGUUUAAAAUGACAGAAGAGCAAAAAAUUUCAGCCCUCUAUCAAUACAACUCAGAAUGACACUUCCACUACUGCAGCUGGGUCAGUGGUAACUUACAGGAAGGUUUCCUCCAAAAUUCCUUAGUGCUGACAUGGAAUAAAUGUUUUCACUCAUCACUCUCCACUGGAGAACUUACUUGUUGGCUUACAUAAAUCAAAGCUACUGGUGCUUUCUGUUUGUUUGUUUGUGAGGUUUUUUGUUGUUGCUGUUGUUGUUUGUGUUUUGUUAGGUCUUUUUAACCUGUUUUUUAACCAGUUUUUUCCAAAAGAUGGUUUCCUGGCAAGGCUACAUGAGUUGUAAAAAAAGAGUAUUCUGGUUAAGAUGUUAUUUGCACAGAACAGAGUUCAUAACUAAAAUAAGCAAGACCCUGGAACCUUCUCUGUGAAGAAAUUAAACUAAUGCUAUGCAUGUAUUUAUUA